GAUGAACGCUAGCUACAGGCUUAACACAUGCAAGUCGAGGGGUAACGAGAGGGAAGCUUGCUUUCCUUGUCGACGACCGGCGCACGGGUGAGUAACGCGUAUCCAACCUGCCCCCAACUAAGGAAUAACCUUGCGAAAGUAAGACUAAUACCUUAUAAUUUCCUCAGAUGACAUCUGGCGAGGAAUAAAGAUUUAUCGGUUGUGGAUGGGGAUGCGUCUGAUUAGUUUGUUGGCGGGGUAAGGGCUCACCAAGGCAACGAUCAGUAGGGGUUCUGAGCAGAAGGUCCCCCACAUGGGAACUGAGACACGGUCCAAACUCCUACGGGAGGCAGCAGUGAGGAAUAUUGGUCAAUGGGCGGAAGUCUGAACCAGCCAAGUAGCGUGCAGGAUGACGGCCCUAUGGGUUGUAAACUGCUUUUAUACAGGAAUAAAGUUAGCCACGUGUGGUUAUUUGUAGGUACUGUAUGAAUAAGGACCGGCUAAUUCCGUGCCAGCCGCCGCUGUAA
rnacentral:rRNA from 1 species